GCCGAAAUAGCUCAGUUGGGAGAGCGUUAGACUGAAGAUCUAAAGGUCCCUGGUUUCAUCCCGGGUUUCCGCA
rnacentral:tRNA from 1 species